rnacentral:rRNA from 1 species
CACGUGGGAAUGUAAAAGGCUACCUCGGUUACCGUUCGUGGGUGUGUAAGGCUGGUCGCCCGCGUUGGUACUGAGACACGGACCAGACUCAUACGGGAGGCAGCAGUGAGGAAUAUUGCACAAUGGAGGAAACUCUGAUGCAGCCAUGCCGCGUGCAGGAAGAAUGCCUAUGGGUUGUAAACUGCUUUUAUACAAGAAGAAACCUCGGUACGUGUACCGACUUGACGGUAUUGUAUGAAUAAGCACCGGCUAACUCCGUGCCAGCAGCCGCGGUAAUACGGAGGGUGCAAGCGUUAUCCGGAUUUAUUAGGUUUAAAGGGUCCGCAGGCGGAAUAUUAAGUCAGUGGUGAAAGCCUACAGCUCAACUGUAGAACUGCCAUUGAUACUGAUAUUCUUGAGUAUGGAUGAAGUGGGCGGAAUAUGUCAUGUAGCGGUGAAAUGCAUAGAUAUGACAUGGAACACCAAUUGCGAAGGCAGCUCACUAAAUAAUUACUGACGCUCAUGGACGAAAGCUUGAGGAGCGAACAGAAUAGAAUACCCUGGAGUUCAA